AGUAGGGAAUAUUGGACAAUGGACGCAAGUCUGAUCCAGCCAUCCCGCGUGAAGGAUUAAGGCCCUAUGGGUUGUAAACUUCUUUUCUUUGGGAAUAAAAAGCGGUAUUCAUAUCGCCUUGAAGGUACCAGGGGAAUAAGCACCGGCUAACUCCGUGCCAGCAGCCGCGGUAAUACGGAGGGUGCAAGCGUUAUCCGGAUUCACUGGGUUUAAAGGGUGCGUAGGUGGUCUGUUAAGUCAGCGGUGAAAGCCUGGAGCUCAACUCCAGAAUUGCCAUUGAUACUGACGGACUUGAAUCAAGUUGAGGUGGAUGGAAUAUUACAUGUAGCGGUGAAAUGCUUAGAUAUGUAAUAGAACACCGAUUGCGAAGGCAGUUCACUAAGCUUGCAUUGACACUGAGGCACGAAAGCGUGGGGAUCAAA
rnacentral:rRNA from 1 species